GAGGGUAUAGCUCAGUGGUAGAGCACAUGCUUAGCAUGCACAAGUCCUGGGUUCAAUCCCCAGUACCUCCA
rnacentral:tRNA from 1 species